rnacentral:rRNA from 1 species
CCUACGGGUGGCUGCAGUGGGGAAUAUUGGACAAUGGGGGCAACCCUGAUCCAGCCAUGCCGCGUGUGUGAAGAAGGCCCUCGGGUUGUAAAGCACUUUCAGUGAGGAAGAACGCCUGGUGGUUAAUACCCAUCAGGAAAGACAUCACUCACAGAAGAAGCACCGGCUAACUCCGUGCCAGCAGCCGCGGUAAUACGGAGGGUGCGAGCGUUAAUCGGAAUUACUGGGCGUAAAGCGCUCGUAGGUGGCUUGAUAAGCCGGUUGUGAAAGCCCCGGGCUCAACCUGGGAACGGCAUCCGGAACUGUCAAGCUAGAGUGCAGGAGAGGAAGGUAGAAUUCCCGGUGUAGCGGUGAAAUGCGUAGAGAUCGGGAGGAAUACCAGUGGCGAAGGCGGCCUUCUGGACUGACACUGACACUGAGGUGCGAAAGCGUGGGUAGCAAACAGGAUUAGAUACCCUGGUAGUC